GAAGUUGUGAAGGUUGAUGCUGUGAAUGCGCUCGGUCAUCCCCUUGCAACUGAUGUCACCUGCAGCAUGUCAACGCAGACACAAAACAGGGCAUGGGUCAGAUCUAGCUGGUUGCAUUCCUAACACCUAGGUUUCAGAGUAAAAAUACAGAGUCAGCUUGUGAUGGCAUUCCCUCAAAACAUGGAAGGAAUUGCAGUAAUGAAAGUCAUCAUGUAUUCUAAGAGACUGUUCUGCGAGAGCACAACACAGACGGGGCUAAAGCAGGGUGAGAAGCAAAAGUGCUCAGGAGUUAAGAGAAGCAGACGUCCGAAAUUAUCUCCAUGCAUUACCAAAAACCGUGGGCACCACGGCACGGGGAAAACUUACCAGGUACAAUGAGCCAGUGACUGUUACUGAAUUUCUUAAGAUUACACUUUUCCCAACUACUGCAGACUGCUUCAGAAUAGAAGAAGACAACUCUCAUGCCAUCAAGCCGACGGACUUUCAAAAAAAUAAAAGAUGCAUUUCUUUACUUGAGCUACGGUGAAAGGGCACCUAAGGUGAAUGGACAGAUUGUAGAUGGGUGCACACAGGAAAAUGUACAGCUCCUACAAUGUAUUCUGAGGGCCCAUGAGAAGUAAAAGCAGGCACUGGCAUUCUGCACAGAUGAAAUACUUCCUACGACAGGAAUACAUGCUCACUUGUGGACUUCUCUGUAAUCUGUAGGCAACAUCAGCUCCUGAUUUCUAGGUCUGGAUCUGGGUUCUCUGUAGCACAGGAAGCAUAGUUACUCUGUGAUGAAGAAAAACUCAGAAAACUAUCCAGAUGUGGGAAUUUCUCGGGUAUUCCUUGCACUUGAACUUAAGGAUGAAUGAAGGUAUAUACAAGUCUCUACUUCUCCUACAUAAAUGCCUUGCAUGGCGGGAACUAAAUCAACUACACAGACCCAUACAUCCAGAGAGCAGAGGUGAGCUGGAUACAAGUGGCUUAGAGAUGUGGUGGAAGGAGGCCAGAGCUCCAAGGGAAGGGCAGCAAGGAGACAACAGCAUGGGUUGCAGCUCAGACAACAGGUAAAUAAAACCAAGCAAAGCUGCUGGUCACAGAUUUGACCAGGGUGGCAAGAAAUGACAAGCUACCAUGAGAUUCAACAGUGGCACGGAAGGAUGAUGAGAAGCAAACAGAUUAGGAGAAGCUGCCACCACCGUACAUAGAGGCACAGAUGACCAAGCAGAACAGCACCAGUCCCUGCAAGGUGUGCUCAGAUACAGCUCAGCACAGCCAUCUGGCCAGGAGGGAAUGAUAAUGCACAUGGUGUGCACUGCAGCCGGGAAGUUGAGAACCGCUGUGGGCACCUCAGGACUGAGUCUGGUUACCCUGCUGAUCCAAGAAAUGAAGCCAUCUAAAAUUUUGCCUGCUUUCACAAUUUUCUGUGUGUGUGUGUGUGUAUUAAACAAAGUGAACUAAGAA
rnacentral:lncRNA from 1 species